ACCGGAGGAAGGUGUGGAUGACGUCAAGUCAGCAUGCCCCUUACAUCCUGGGCUACACACGUACUACAAUGCUGCGGACAGAGGGUUGCGAGCAUGCGAAUGCAAGCUAAUCCCGUAAACCGUGGCUCAGUUCAGAUUGCAGGCUGCAACUCGCCUGCAUGAAGGCGGAAUCGCUAGUAAUCGCAGGUCAGCAUACUGCGGUGAAUACGUUCCCGGGCCUUGUACGCACCGCCCGUCACACCAUGGGAGUUGGCCACGCCCGAAGUCGUUACUCCAACCGUAAGGAGGGGGGCGCCUAAGGCAGGGCUGAUGACUGGGGUGAAGUCGUAACAAGGUAGCCGUACCGGAAGGUGUGGCUGGAUCACCUCCUUUUAGGGAGACCUUACCCUUCUAACUCUGAAUUGAGUAAGGGUAGAUAGAGGUUAUCUCAAGGUCGGUCGAGGUUAUAUGUGUUAGCUUCCAAAUUUUGCUCUGGUUUUAAUUAACCAGUACGGGCUAUUAGCUCAGAUGGUUAGAGCGCACCCCUGAUAAGGGUGAGGUCCCUGGUUCGAGUCCAGGAUGGCCCACCUUUGCUAUCGCUAGGGGGUUUAGCUCAGUUGGUAGAGCGCCUGCUUUGCAAGCAGGAUGUCAGCGGUUCGAGUCCGCUAACCUCCACUGAUAAAUUUCAGCAACUCAUGAUGUCCAAUAGAGACUUCAUAGCCUGCUGGAUAUUUUAUCCAGUCAGAACUUAGAAAACUGCAUAAAGAUUAGUCAGGUAAGUAGUAACCACUGAAGAUUGAGCAAUCAAUUCUUGUAGUGGCUUUACAGACAAUACCAAACAAAAAUACUUAGAAAUAAGUGGUCAAGCUACAAAGGGCUAAUGGUGGAUACCUUGGCACACAGAGGCGAUGAGGUACUCCUACGGGAGGCAGCACUCCUACGGGUACUCCUACGGGAGGCAGCACUCCUACGGGAGGCAGUACUCCUACGGGAGGCAGCACCUAGGCACACAGAGGCGAAGCUACUCCUACGGGAGGCAGCACCUWGGCACACAGAGGCGADG
rnacentral:sRNA from 1 species